rnacentral:rRNA from 1 species
AUUGAACGCUGGCGGCAGGCCUAACACAUGCAAGUCGAGCGGAUGAGUGGAGCUUGCUCCAUGAUUCAGCGGCGGACGGGUGAGUAAUGCCUAGGAAUCUGCCUGAUAGUGGGGGACAACGUUUCGAAGGGAACGCUAAUACCGCAUACGUCCUACGGGAGAAAGCAGGGGACCUUCGGGCCUUGCGCUAUCAGAUGAGCCUAGGUCGGAUUAGCUAGUAGGUGAGGUAAUGGCUCACCUAGGCGACGAUCCGUACCUGGUCUGAGAGGAUGAUCAGUCACACUGGAACUGAGACACGGUCCAGACUCCUACGGGAGGCAGCAGUGGGGAAUAUUGGACAAUGGGCGAAAGCCUGAUCCAGCCAUGCCGCGUGUGUGAAGAAGGUCUUCGGAUUGUAAAGCACUUUAAGUUGGGAGGAAGGGCAGUAAGUUAAUACCUUGCUGUUUUGACGUUACCAACAGAAUAAGCACCGGCUAACUUCGUGCCAGCAGCCGCAGUAACAC